rnacentral:pre_miRNA from 1 species
AAUAAGUACAGUUUUAGCAGUAUUCAUGUUCAACGUUUGACCGUUCGUCUUAUUUAAAAAAAGAUUAUGAUUAGUAUUUUUAUUGUUAUUAGAUGAUAAAACAUGAAUAGUACUUUAUGUGUGACUAAUUUUUUAAACAUUUUUCAUAAAUUUUUUAAAUAAGACGGAUGGUCAAAGCGCUAAACACGGAUAUUUAUGGCUGCACUUAUU